rnacentral:rRNA from 1 species
GUGACAGGUGGUGCAUGGGUUGUCGUCAGCUCGCUGUCGCUGAGAUGUUGGGUUAAGUCCCGCAACGAGCGCAACCCCUAUUGUUAGUUGCCAUCAUUCAGUUGGGCACUCUAGCGAGACUGCCGGUAAUAAACCGGAGGAAGGUGGGGAUGACGUCAAAUCAUCAUGCCCCUUAUGACCUGGGCUACACACGUGCUACAAUGGCUGGUACAACGAGUCGCAAGNCGGUGACGGCAAGCUAAUCUCUUAAAGCCAGUCUCAGUUCGGAUUGUAGGCUGCAACUCGCCUACAUGAAGUCGGAAUCGCUAGUAAUCGCGGAUCAGCACGCCGCGGUGAAUACGUUCCCGGGNCUUGUACACACCGANAAA